rnacentral:rRNA from 1 species
CCUACGGGCGGCAGCAGUGAGGAAUAUUGGUCAAUGGGCGCGAGCCUGAACCAGCCAAGUCGCGUGAGGGAAGACGGCCCUACGGGUUGUAAACCUCUUUUGCCGGGGAGCAACGGGCGCCACGUGUGGCGCCACUGAGAGUACCCGGAGAAAAAGCAUCGGCUAACUCCGUGCCAGCAGCCGCGGUAAUACGGAGGAUGCGAGCGUUAUCCGGAUUUAUUGGGUUUAAAGGGUGCGUAGACGGAAGAACAAGUUGGUUGUGAAAUCCCUCGGCUCAACUGAGGAACUGCAACCAAAACUAUUCGCCGUGAGUGUCGGAGAGGAAAGUGGAAUGCCUAGUGUAGCGGUGAAAUGCGUAGAUAUUAGGAGGAACACCAGUGGCGAAGGCGACUUUCUGGACGAUAACUGACGUUGAGGCACGAAAGUGUGGGGAGCAAACAGGAUUAGAUACCCGUGUAGUC